UUUCAUCAUAAUGUUGUAUCACACAACUCCUAUAAAUGGAGUCCCUUCUUACAACUUCAGAUAUUCAAUAUACAAGAGUUUCUCUUACUCUCUUAAUAUCACUCUUAUUUCUUUCACCUAUGUUUCAUCAAUGAUGCAUACAUACAUAGUUUGCGAACAAUCGUUACAAAAUGGUGGUCAUCAUAUCUAACCUUCAGCUAGUUCAUAUACAAGCAGGACAAAUUAAUGUAACAAAUUAUUUGAAGAAGGCAAAUAAUUUUUUUGAACUUGAUUAUGUUUGAAGAACAUAAAUCAUCUAUUUAUUUUUAACCUGAGCUAUCUAAGAUGGUCUAUUCGGAUUGGUUUUGCUUCAAAAUGGACUUAGAAGCAUAAAUGUCGAAAGUUUACUUUCUAUGCUGACGGUAUGGAUUUGUGGUUACCUAUGAUAGUCUUACAGGUACCGUUCGGUGGAACUUGAGAGCUCAUUGAGUCAUUGAUGAUUCAGAGAUUGUGCUGCCAUGCUCUUGGGUCAUGAUGGCUGCGGCUAGUAUUGAAGUUUCUAUGGCAUCGGAUGCAUUGUUGGUGAGAAGGUUUUGGGCUGUUUAUGGGUUUGAGGUUAUCUAAUAGGAGGUGGAUUGAGUCAAUUGUUUUGUUAUCCGACCUUGAAUAAAGGCUAAAUACAUACCUUAUUUGUCUGUGUGUAAUAAUGUUAGUGGUGGUAGAUACUGAGGGCUCUAGCUUGCUAUAUGACCUCUUUUUGUGCUUUUUAUAAUUUGCGAUGAUUUGAAGUUCAAUUUUUGCU